rnacentral:rRNA from 1 species
AGAGUUUGAUCCUGGCUCAGAUUGAACGCUGGCGGCGUGCCUUACACAUGCAAGUCGAACGGCAGCACGGGUGCUUGCACCUGGUGGCGAGUGGCGAACGGGUGAGUAAUAUAUCGGAACGUACCCUAGAGUGGGGGAUAACGUAGCGAAAGUUACGCUAAUACCGCAUACGAUCUACGGAUGAAAGUGGGGGAUCGCAAGACCUCAUGCUCAUGGAGCGGCCGAUAUCUGAUUAGCUAGUUGGUGAGGUAAAAGCUCACCAAGGCUUCGAUCAGUAGCUGGUCUGAGAGGACGACCAGCCACACUGGAACUGAGACACGGUCCAGACUCCUACGGGAGGCAGCAGUGGGGAAUUUUGGACAAUGGGCGCAAGCCUGAUCCAGCAAUGCCGCGUGAGUGAAGAAGGCCUUCGGGUUGUAAAGCUCUUUUGUCAGGGAAGAAACGGACUUUUCUAAUACAGAGAUCUAAUGACGGUACCUGAAGAAUAAGCACCGGCUAACUACGUGCCAGCAGCCGCGGUAAUACGUAGGGUGCAAGCGUUAAUCGGAAUUACUGGGCGUAAAGCGUGCGCAGGCGGUUGUGCAAGACAGAUGUGAAAUCCCCGGGCUCAACCUGGGAAUUGCAUUUGUGACUGCACGGCUAGAGUGUGUCAGAGGGGGGUAGAAUUCCACGUGUAGCAGUGAAAUGCGUAGAGAUGUGGAGGAAUACCGAUGGCGAAGGCAGCCCCCUGGGAUAACACUGACGCUCAUGCACGAAAGCGUGGGGAGCAAACAGGAUUAGAUACCCUGGUAGUCCACGCCCUAAACGAUGUCUACUAGUUGUCGGGUCUUAAUUGACUUGGUAACGCAGCUAACGCGUGAAGUAGACCGCCUGGGGAGUACGGUCGCAAGAUUAAAACUCAAAGGAAUUGACGGGGACCCGCACAAGCGGUGGAUGAUGUGGAUUAAUUCGAUGCAACGCGAAAAACCUUACCUACCCUUGACAUGUCUGGAAUCCCUGAGAGAUUAGGGAGUGCUCGAAAGAGAAUCAGAACACAGGUGCUGCAUGGCUGUCGUCAGCUCGUGUCGUGAGAUGUUGGGUUAAGUCCCGCAACGAGCGCAACCCUUGUCAUUAGUUGCUACGAAAGGGCACUCUAAUGAGACUGCCGGUGACAAACCGGAGGAAGGUGGGGAUGACGUCAAGUCCUCAUGGCCCUUAUGGGUAGGGCUUCACACGUCAUACAAUGGUACAUACAGAGGGCCGCCAACCCGCGAGGGGGAGCUAAUCCCAGAAAGUGUAUCGUAGUCCGGAUUGGAGUCUGCAACUCGACUCCAUGAAGUUGGAAUCGCUAGUAAUCGCGGAUCAGCAUGUCGCGGUGAAUACGUUCCCGGGUCUUGUACACACCGCCCGUCACACCAUGGGAGCGGGUUUCACCAGAAGUGGGUAGCCUAACCGCAAGGAGGGCGCUCACCACGGUGGGAUUCGUGACUGGGGUGAAGUCGUAACAAGGUA